rnacentral:lncRNA from 1 species
AUGGGGGGGGGGCUGUGGGGGGGGGGAGGACGGAAGGAAGAAAGGAAAGGCAUCAAGCACAGUAGGUCUCAAGAGGGGAAGGAGAGCCAGCCCUUGAAAAACACUUCACAACUGUUCAUUGUUCGUUCUCCUCUGACCCGACGUCCCCUCACUCUGCACUCGCUCACCCACUUCAUUUUUAAGUCUUAUCAGCCUCCUGCCUUGCCCUCCAGGGGAAAGCAGAAUUCACAGAUGAAAACAGAGUGCCAGACUCCCCGGAAAGCUUUUCAAUGUCCUUUGCCCAGGAGAGGUUCUCAUUACAAUGGGGCCUGGACCUCAGCCAUGAGCCUAGGGAGGGGAGAAGCGAUUUCAUUCCACUUAACCCAAUUUGCUGGGCCCAGAAGGCAGCUAAUGAGCAGCCUGCACCCUCGGAGUCAUCGAUACCACUUUCCAAAUCAAGUUACCAAAUUGGUCUUAAAACUGCUUCAAAGGGGCCAGGCUGACUGUUCCCAACGAGGCAUCCUGCUGGCCAUAUGGCCACGGUUCCUGCCGGGGGCAUCCUGGCUCAGCACCGGUGGCAGGGGGGAGCUAGCUAGCUGGCGCCUUUGUCUGUGUUUCGGGGCGCCCCAUCCCCUCCCUCCAAAGCCUGAUCCCCUGGGGUGGAACCCAGGGUACCACAGAAAAACAGGACACAGUUGUGGCAGAGAGAUCCAAACUCAAGGAGGACCCAAAGGCAGAGGAGAAAGAAGAAAUCCCCACACUCGACUGCACCCAGCUCCCUGGGAAGGUUCCCAAACAAGCCGCCCUGAGCUGGUGCCGGGCCCAGCCCGGUGUGCUGCAGAGCACCGGACAACAGCACCUCGGAGGUCAUCCCCACACAAGGACAGUGGUGGGCAGAUGCUAUCUGUGAUCUCGCUGAAGCCUCACAGUGCCCUGGGAGGUCAGGAGUCUUAUUGCCCCCCCCCACCCCCCACCCAUUUCACGGACGAAGAAACUGAGAUUACGGAAUCGGUGCAGGGUCACGCGGCCAGCACGUGGCUGCAGCAGCAACCCAACCCGCAGCGGCCUCUUCAAACGCAGUCCGUGUUCAGCCCCUCAGUCACACCGGCUUCGGAGUGGAGAUCUUGA